UACGAAGGGGGCUAGCGUUGUUCGGAAUUACUGGGCGUAAAGCGUGCGCAGGCGGCUUCUCAAGUCAGGGGUGAAAGCCCAGAUGCUCAACUCUGGAAAUUGCCUUUGAGACUGAGUGGCUUGAGUGUGGGAGAGGUGAGUGGAAUUUCCGGUGUAGCGGUGAAAUGCGUAGAUAUCGGAAGGAACACCUGUGGCGAAAGCGGCUCACUGGACCAUUACUGACACUGAGG
rnacentral:rRNA from 1 species